CAGAACGAACGCUGGCGGUAUGCUUAACACAUGCAAGUCGAACGCGAAAGUUUCUUCGGAGACGAGUAGAGUGGCGCACGGGUGAGUAACGCGUAGAUAAUCUGCCCUGAAGUUUGGGACAACCUUUCGAAAGGAGGGCUAAUACCAGAUAAGACCCGGAUUAUUUAAGGGAGAGGUUGAAAUGGUCCGCCGCCCUGGGACGAGUCUGCGUACCAUUAGCUAGUUGGUGGGGUAAUGGCCCACCAAGGCGACGAUGGUUAGCGGGUCUGAGAGGAUGAUCCGCCACACUGGAACCGAGACACGGUCCAGACUCCUACGGGAGGCAGCAGUGGGGAAUCUUGCGCAAUGGACGCAAGUCUGACGCAGCAAUACCGCGUGAGUGAAGAAGGCCUUAGGGUCGUAAAGCUCUUUUAUCGGGGAAGAUAAUGACGGUACCCGAGGAAUAAGCACCGGCUAACUACGUGCCAGCAGCCGCGGUAAUACGUAGGGUGCAAGCGUUGUUCGGAAUCACUGGGCGUAAAGGGCGUGUAGGCGGAUUGUUAAGCAUGAGGUGAAAGCCCGGGGCUCAACCCCGGAAGUGCUUCAUGAACUGACAAACUAGAGUUGGUGAGAGGUGAGCGGAAUUCCAGGUGUAGAGGUGAAAUUCGUAGAUAUCAGGAGGAAUACCGGAGGCGAAGGCGGCUUGCUGGGGCCAAUCUGACGCUGAUGCACGAAAGCGUGGGGAGCAAACGGGAUUAGAUACCCCGGUAGUCCACGCCGUAAACGAUGAGUACCAGCUGUAUAAUAUAAAGUUAUGUGGCGCAGUUAACACGUUGAGUUGAGUACUCCGCCUGGGAAGUACGGUCGCAAGACUAAAACUCAAAGGAAUUGACGGGGGCCCGCACAAGCGGUGGAGCAUGUGGUUUAAUUCGACGCAACGCGAAGAACCUUACCUGCCCUUGACAUCCUUGGCCCGCCUAAGAGAUUAGGUUUUCCCUUCGGGGACCAAGUGACAGGUGCUGCAUGGCUGUCGUCAGCUCGUGUCGUGAGAUGUUGGGUUAAGUCCCGCAACGAGCGCAACCCUUAUCCUUAGUUGCCUGCAUGUAAGAUGGGAACUCUAGGGAGACUGCCGGUGUCAAGCCGGAGGAAGGUGGGGAUGACGUCAAGUCCUCAUGGCCUUUAUAUCCAGGGCUACACACGUGCUACAAUGGCAACUACAAAGAGCAGCUAAACCGCGAAGGUAGAGCGAAUCUCAAAAAGGUCAUCUCAGUUCGGAUUGCAGUCUGCAACUCGGCUGCAUGAAGUUGAAUCGCUAGUAAUCGUAGAUCAGCGUGC
rnacentral:rRNA from 1 species